AACAAUUCUUGAUGUGGACCCUCCUCCACAGUGGAAUGAUUGGAUAAAACUCAGCACUUAGAACAGCACUGUCACAAAGAAGUUCUCAACAGAGCCUGGCUAUUAUGACGGGGACAGUUAGUGCUCGGAGCUUGUUUAUUCUUUCCAUUGCACUCACUGGCCUCCUUUGCAGUUAGUUUAAGGCCAGGUGCCUAAUUAUACUUCAUGAACUAGAGCAGAAGGGGUGAGGCAGUAAAGAACCAGUGCCUUGAGACCUCUCUUUCCCUGUUGAAGAGGACUGGGAGGCGUGAGUUCAAGUCGGCAGAGCUCCAUGGUGGGGUGCCACCCCAUCCUCAUCAGAGUGCCGCGAGGGUGACAAAUUUAUGCUACAUCGCUGACAUUUCCAGGUUAAUUCAUUGCCUCAAGAUGUCUUCACUAGAUUUUCUUGCUGGAUGAAAGAAAACAUACUUAGCAUUCAGUGGGAAUUAUGAUAAUGAAAAUGACCUUAGCCAGUCAACCUGGCAUUAAAAAUAUGUGGUUUUGCUAAUUACAAAGGGGAAGAAAAGCCUGUAUGUCAUAUUAAAAUCUGUCUCUUAACGGGUAGCAAGCUCAGAGUUUCUUUGUCUGAAGGAUAUUUUC
rnacentral:lncRNA from 1 species